AGGCCAGUAGCUCAAUUUGGUAGAGCACGCGUCUCCAAAACGCGCGGUUGUGGGUUCAAGUCCUGCCUGGCCUGCCU
rnacentral:tRNA from 1 species